rnacentral:rRNA from 1 species
AACGAGYCUUCCCUUGAUUGAAAAAUCCCKGGUAAUCUUGUAAAUGUGUGUCGUGAUAGGGAUAGAUUAUUGCAAUUAUUAAUCUUGAACGAGGAAUUCCUAGUAAAUGCGAGUCAUCAGCUCGCGUUGAUUACGUCCCUGCCCUUUGUACACACCGCCCGUCGCACCUACCGAUUGAAUGAUUCGGUGAAAAUUCCGGACUGUGGCUCGAUAACCGCGAGGUCGCCUUGCUGUAGGAAGUUAUUUAAACCUCAUCAUUUAGAGGAAGGUGAAGUCGUAACAAGGUUUCCGUAGGUGAACCUGCGGAAGGAUC